UGUCAGGGGCCGUGGAGGUUCGGCAGGCGAACCCCGCCAGGACUUGAUCGUAGCAACGGUAGUUUGUCCGGAUUUGCCGCGGAUUCCCUGGCAGCA
rnacentral:SRP_RNA from 1 species